rnacentral:rRNA from 1 species
UACGUAGGUGGCAAGCGUUGCCCGGAAUUAUUGGGCGUAAAGCGCGCGCAGGCGGUUCUUUUAAGUCUGAUGUGAAAGCCCACGGCUCAACCGUGGAGGGUCAUUGGAAACUGGGGAACUUGAGUACAGAAGAGGAAAGCGGAAUUCCACGUGUAGCGGUGAAAUGCGUAGAGAUGUGGAGGAACACCAGUGGCGAAGGCGACUUUCUGGGCUGUAACUGACGCUGAGGCGCGAAAGCGUGGGGAGCAAACAGG